CCUACGGGGGGCUGCAGUGGGGAAUAUUGGACAAUGGGGGCAACCCUGAUCCAGCCAUGCCGCGUGUGUGAAGAAGGCCCUCGGGUUGUAAAGCACUUUCAGUGAGGAAGAACGCCUGGUGGUUAAUACCCAUCAGGAAAGACAUCACUCACAGAAGAAGCACCGGCUAACUCCGUGCCAGCAGCCGCGGUAAUACGGAGGGUGCGAGCGUUAAUCGGAAUGACUGGGCGUAAAGCGCGCGUAGGUGGCUUGAUAAGCCGGUUGUGAAAGCCCCGGGCUCAACCUGGGAACGGCAUCCGGAACUGUCAAGCUAGAGUGCAGGAGAGGAAGGUAGAAUUCCCGGUGUAGCGGUGAAAUGCGUAGAGAUCGGGAGGAAUACCAGUGGCGAAGGCGGCCUUCUGGACUGACACUGACACUGAGGUGCGAAAGCGUGGGUAGCAAACAGGAUUAGAUACCCUUGUAGUC
rnacentral:rRNA from 1 species